GUGGGGAAUAUUGCACAAUGGGCGCAAGCCUGAUGCAGCGACGCCGCGUGGGGGAUGACGGCCUUCGGGUUGUAAACUCCUUUCGCCAGGGACGAAGCGCAAGUGACGGUACCUGGAGAAGAAGCACCGGCCAACUACGUGCCAGCAGCCGCGGUAAUACGUAGGGUGCGAGCGUUGUCCGGAAUUACUGGGCGUAAAGAGCUCGUAGGCGGUUUGUCACGUCGUCUGUGAAAUCCUGCAACUCAAUUGUAGGCGUGCAGGCGAUACGGGCAGACUUGAGUACUACAGGGGAGACUGGAAUUCCUGGUGUAGCGGUGAAAUGCGCAGAUAUCAGGAGGAACACCGGUGGCGAAGGCGGGUCUCUGGGUAGUAACUGACGCUGAGGAGCGAAAGCGUGGGGAGCGAACAGGAUUAGAAACCCCAGUAGUCC
rnacentral:rRNA from 1 species